UGGGGAAUAUUGGGCAAUGGGCGCAAGCCUGACCCAGCGACGCCGCGUGGGUGAUGAAGGCCUUCGGGUCGUAAAGCCCUGUCAGGUGGAAAGAAUGGGCAGUGUGCAAAUAGCACAGUGCCGUGACGGUACCACCGAAGGAAGCACCGGCCAAUUCCGUGCCAGCAGCCGCGGUAAGACGGAAGGUGCAAGCGUUGCUCGGAAUCACUGGGCGUAAAGGGUGCGUAGGCGGCCUCGUAAGUCUGACGUGAAAGCCCCGGGCUCAGCCCGGGAAGUGCGCUAGAAACUGUGAGGCUCGAGUGCCGGAGGGGAGAGGGAUGCGGAAUUCCAGGUGUAGCGGUGAAAUCCGUUGAUAUCAUGGGGAACACCGAAUGCGAAGGCAGUGCACUGGUACAUUCCUGACACUCAAACACGAAAGCGUGGGUAGCGAACCGGAUUAGAUACCCAAGUAGUCCCUGAGCGGGCUGGCAAGGCGCAU
rnacentral:rRNA from 1 species